rnacentral:lncRNA from 1 species
GCGGCCCAAAUGGCAACGAAGACGAUGCGAGACAGAGGGAGGGGGUGUGGAUCUCACAAGGGAGAGACGGCCUGGAUCUCCUCCAUCCAUUGCCUUGGUGACGGGGUCCGGCUACCGACGAGCAUGGGUGUUCACGACGAAGGGGGUCUUGGCUCCGCGGUGGAAAUCGAGUAUGGGGUAAAGAUGGCGCGGUCGUAGCCCUAACGGAAGCGACCGAAGGAUGGGAGCUCAAAGG